rnacentral:rRNA from 1 species
AAGGAUCAUUAUCGAGAGAGGGCCUUCGUGCUCCCGGGGGUUCCGGCCCCUAACUCUUCACCCAUUGUUUAUCUACCUUUGUUGCUUUGGCGGGCCACGGGGCCUUCCCGCGCUGGCUCUCGGGCCGGCGAGCGCCCGUCAGAGGCCCAUUAAAUUCUGUUUAUUAGUGUUGUCCGAGUAAAAACAUAAAUAAGUAAAAACUUUCAACAACGGAUCUCUUGGUUCCAGCAUCGAUGAAGAACGCAGCGAAAUGCGAUAAGUAAUGUGAAUUGCAGAAUUCAGUGAAUCAUCGAAUCUUUGAACGCACAUUGCGCCCCUCGGUAUUCCGGGGGGCAUGCCUGUUCGAGCGUCAUUACACCCCUCAAGCGUAGCUUGGUAUUGGGCUUCGCCCCUGCGGCGUGCCCGAAAGUUAGUGGCGGUCCGGUGUGACUUUAAGCGUAGUAAAUACAAAUCCCGCUCUGAAAGUUCACGCUGCGGCCUGCCAGACAACCCCAUAACUUUUCAAUAAUUGACCUCGGAUCAGGUAGGGAUACCCGCUGAACUUAA